rnacentral:misc_RNA from 1 species
GAUGAAGAACGUAGUGAAAUGCGAUAAGUAAUGUGAAUUGCAGAAUUCAGUGAAUCAUCGAAUCUUUGAACGCACAUUGCGCCCGCCAGUAUUCUGGCGGGCAUGCCUGUUCGAGCGUCAUUUCAGCCAUCAAGCCCCCGGCUUGUGUUGGGGACCUGCGGCUGCCGCAGGCCCUGAAAAGCAGUGGCGGGCUCGCUGUCACACCGAGCGUAGUAGCAUACAUCUCGCUCUGGGCGUGCUGCGGGUUCCGGCCGUUAAACCACCUUCAUAACCCAAGGUUGACCUCGGAUCAGGUAGGAAGACCCGCUGAACUUAAGCAUAUCAAUAAGCGGAGGA